rnacentral:rRNA from 1 species
UGCACGAAUGGCGUAACGACUUCCCCGCUGUCUCCAGCAUAGACUCAGUGAAAUUGAAUUCCCCGUGAAGAUGCGGGGUUCCUGCGGUCAGACGGAAAGACCCCGUGCACCUUUACUAUAGCUUUACACUGGUAUUCGUGACGACAUGUGUAGGAUAGGUGGUAGGCUUUGAAGCGUGAGCGCCAGCUUGCGUGGAGCCACCCUUGAAAUACCACCCUUGUUUUCAUGGAUAUCUAACCGCGACGUACGUCCGGGACAGUGUAUGGUGGGUAGUUUGACUGGGGCGGUCUCCUCCUAAAGAGUAACGGAGGAGUACGAAGGUGCGCUCAGAACGGUCGGAAAUCGUUCGCUGAGUGCAAUGGCAUAAGCCUGCCUGACUGCGAGACUGACAAGUCGA